rnacentral:rRNA from 1 species
CUGGGAUAAGCACUGGAAACGGUGUCUAAUACUGGAUACGACCUAUCACCGCAUGGUGUGUGGGUGGAAAGAUUUAUCGGUUUUGGAUGGACUCGCGGCCUAUCAGCUAGAUGGUGAGGUAAUGGCUCACCAUGGCGACGACGGGUAGCCGGCCUGAGAGGGUGACCGGCCACACUGGGACUGAGACACGGCCCAGACUCCUACGGGAGGCAGCAGUGGGGAAUAUUGCACAAUGGGCGCAAGCCUGAUGCAGCAACGCCGCGUGAGGGAUGACGGCCUUCGGGUUGUAAACCUCUUUUAGUAGGGAAGAAGCGAAAGUGACGGUACCUGCAGAAAAAGCACCGGCUAACUACGUGCCAGCAGCCGCGGUAAUACGUAGGGUGCAAGCGUUGUCCGGAAUUAUUGGGCGUAAAGAGCUCGUAGGCGGCUUGUCGCGUCUGCUGUGAAAUCCCGGGGCUCAACCCCGGGCCUGCAGUGGGUACGGGCAAGCUAGAGUGCGGUAGGGGAGAUUGGAAUUCCUGGUGUAGCGGUGGAAUGCGCAGAUAUCAGGAGGAACACCGAUGGCGAAGGCAGAUCUCUGGGCCGCUAUUGACGUCUGUAGGAGCGAAAGCAUGGGGAGCGUAACAGGAUUAGAUAUCCUGGUAGUCCAUGCCGUUAACGUUGGGAACUAGAUGUAGGGCCUGUUCCACGGGUUUUGUGUCGUAGUUUACGCAUUAAGUUCCCCGCCUGGGGAGUACGUCCGCAAGGCUAAAACUCAAAGGAAUUGACGGGGGCCCGCACAAGCGGCGGAGCAUGCGGAGUAAUUCGAUGCAACGCGAAGAACCUUACCAAGGCUUGACAUAGCCGAGAACGCUGUAGAGAUACAGAACUCUUUGGACACUCGGUUACAGGUGGUGCAUGGUUGUCGUCAGCUCGUGUCGUGAGAUGUUCGGUUAAGUCCGGCAACGAGCGCAACCCUCGUCCUAUGUUGCCAGCACGUUAUGGUGGGAACUCAUGGGAUACUGCCGUGGUCAACACGGAGGAAGGUGGGGAUGACGUCAAAUCAUCAUGCCCCUUAUGUCUUGGGCUUCACGCAUGCUACAAUGGCCGAUACAAAGGGCUGCGAUACCGCGAGGUGGAGCGAAUCCCAAAAAGUCGGUCUCAGUUCGGAUUGGGGUCU